GCGUUGUCCGGAUUUAUUGGGCGUAAAGAGCUCGUAGGCGGCUUGGCAAGUCGGGUGUGAAAGCUCCAGGCUCAACCUGGAGAUGCCACCCGAGACUGCUAUGGCUAGAGUCCGGUAGGGGAUCACGGAAUUCCUGGUGUAGCGGUGAAAUGCGCAGAUAUCAGGAGGAACACCGGUGGCGAAGGCGGUGAUCUGGGCCGGCACUGACGCUGAGGUAGCGAAAGCG
rnacentral:rRNA from 1 species